AAAAGAAAGUCUGUUCGACUUUUAAUGAUUUACAUGAUUUGAGUUCAGACCGGCGUAAGCCAGGUCGGUUUCUAUCUUCUCUUUUUUAGUUUCAGUACGAAAGGACCAAACUGAAAGCACUACG
rnacentral:rRNA from 1 species